UGGAUUUGAACAAAAUACUAUUUUUAAAGCAGUUAAUUAAGAUAUGAUUUGCAAUAUAACAGAUGGAUUUCCUGGACUUUUCUUGAGGCUUCUCUAUAAUUCAAAAGUGUGGGUUUUCUGAAUCACUGACCUUUUUUUGGGUGGGAGAUCAAAUUUCAGAGGAGAAAUGGACAUGGAAGCACCAGGUGCUCAAGAAAUGUCUUAUUAUGAACAUAUUCAGAAAAGAAAGGAUGAGAAAGGUUGUCUCUACAGUUGUGCAUUUGCUUUGUGCUGCUGCUUCUGCUGUUAUGAGAGCUGUGAAUGCUGCCUCGACAUCCUCUGUUGCUGCUGCACAUAAUCUGGGUUUAUCUGUCAGUAAUAAAGAAUGGAUGUGUAUUGUCUGUAGUGCCCAUCCUAUCAUGUAUAUGUUGUACCAGAUGUGGUGUAGAGGGGGAAAAGUUUAUUUAAUUCUUCAUUUGCAGAUCUGAUGAAUAAGGUUGUAUAGAUUAUUUUGGGGUGUAAUAAAAUUCCUGUGACAUUUUAGUAUCAAAAAAUAUGAAUUGGGUGGACUUUAUUUUGGAUUU